GAGGGCAUAGCUCAGUGGGAGAGCACAUGCCUGGCAUGCAUGAGGUCCUGGGUUCCAUCCCCAGCACCUCCA
rnacentral:tRNA from 1 species